rnacentral:rRNA from 1 species
CACGUAGGGGGCAAGCGUUGUCCGGAUUUAUUGGGCGUAAAGAGCUCGUAGGUGGUUCGGUAAGUCAGGUGUGAAACCUCCAGGCUCAACCUGGAGACGCCACUUGAUACUGCUGUGACUGGAGUCCGGUAGGGGAGCGUGGAAUUCCUGGUGUAGCGGUGAAAUGCGCAGAUAUCAGGAGGAACACCGAUGGCGAAGGCAGCUCGCUGGGACGGUACUGACGCUGAGGCGCGAAAGCGUGGGGAGCGAACAGG